CCUACGGGUGGCAGCAGUGGGGAAUAUUGGUCAAUGGAGGAAACUCUGACCCAGCCACGCCGCGUGGAUGAUGAAGGUCUUCGGAUUGUACAGUUCUUUUCGAAGGGAAGAAGAAAGUGACGGUACAUGAGGAAUAAGACUCGGCUAACUACGUGCCAGCAGCCGCGGUAAUACGUAGGAGGCGAGCGUUAUCCGGAAUGACUGGGCGUAAAGGGUGCGUAGGUGGUUUGGCAAGUGAGUAGCGUAACUCCAAGGCUCAACCUUGGAACUACUACUAAAACUGUUGGACUUGAGUGCAGGAGGGGGAGCCGGAAUUCCUGGUGUAGCGGUGGAAUGCGUAGAUAUUAGGAGGAACCCCAGUGGCGAAGGCGGGUUGCUAGACUGUAACUGACGCUGAGGCACGAAAGCGUGGGGAGCAAACAGGAUUAGAUACCCGUGUAGUC
rnacentral:rRNA from 1 species